GGAGCAGGGUGAGGCUAGUCUGAAAAACAAUAACAACAAUAAAAAAAAAAAGUGUUCUCUGGUUCUCCCCCUCUCUCCAGCGGAUCCGCUCAGGGCGCUAAUCCGGGAGUGAGUGCUCACACCAGCGAGGACCGAGCGAAGUCCUUGGCACAAGCAAAAGCUAGGAGGCCAGCACGAGUUCCUUCUCUCCUGUGGCUGCAGUGGGCAGCCUUAGCCACCGCCUCUGUUUAUUUCGGUGGGCGCUGAGACCGCAGCAGCCGCCUUUCAUUUAUUUAUUUUUUUUUGUCCCCUCCUUUUCCUCUCCCCUCCCCCGCGUACCCGCCGGGUCUCCCGCCCGGGCAUCCCUCCCUCCUUAUCCAAAGCUCGGCCUCCUGGUCACACCGCCCCUUUAACGGCGACUCCCGCCCAUCCCGCCCUCCAGAAACCGCUAUUGGCCAUCAUGGCCUAGUCAAUCCUGCGCCCCCGCCCUGCGCCCAGCCCUCCCCACCUUCCCUAAACCCCGCUACGUCUGUGCAGCUGCAGCAGCGGCCGAACGCACCCACAGGCUGGGCCUGCCAGCCUGCAGCGUUUCGUUCACGCGUCUGGCCCUGUGGCUCUUGGCCCCAGCCAGCUAACUCAGGAGUCCAGCUGCGAGCCUAACGCGUUCCACGAUCUGUAGGUCUUGUCCGGUUCCACCAGAUCCUGGCCUGGAGCAGUAUUGAACCCUGCUCCCGUAUACUUUGUCAGAGGCCACCAACUCCCCAGAGACUUCACCCACUACCUAACCACACCGAAAAAACCCAGGACCCCUAGCCCAAAGCACCCUUUGCUGCAGAGUCACCAAGCCCGAGACCCUAAUGAAGUGAAGAGACUUUUCUAGACAAGGACAGGUCUCUCGCCCUGUCUGCGCAGGCAUUCUAUUUUCCCCAUCCUCACCUUAACCAAUUUGCUUUGAGGCGUUAAAACGUGGGUGAAGGAUGGUGGACACAGAUGGUCAAAUUUAUCCCUUUCCACUUCCUGGACAUUCGUCUAUACACUGCCCCCACCCCAGGCAGUGGUCCCUACCUGCCCUGGGCUCACUUAGCUCCCCCUCGCCCCCGCCCCCGCCGCUCACGUUCAGCUCAGAUUACAGGAGUAAACCGUAGGCAGUAGCCCUGAGGGACAGUUUAGACAUCAUUUAAAAACAGUGUCUCCCUCGGGGUGGAUACCUCCUGACCCUGUCCACGGCCACCUUGGGUUAGGAAGUGGAAUGCCCAGAACCAAGCAAGGUUUAGGUCUUAAUUUGGUUGUUGCCAUAUCAGAAUCAGGGCCUCAGAAAAGUAAACUGUGGGGCUUAAACCUUCUUUACGGUAAGUGUUACUCUUUGGUGAACCCACCGCAAAGCUUCGCCCAAGUGCCUCGAACCCAGCCUGGCUUGCCACGAAGAACGUGGCUGUCCGCCGCCCUCAGAUUGUGCUCAAGAGGUAAUGGGAGAGGGAAUUGCGGGCCUAGAGUCUGGGGAAGUGUAAAGGGUUCAGCCUGUGGCCAACGUCUUCCUUCACCUUUCGCAGGCCUGAGGACUGCUUUUAUUUAUAAAUCUCUGGGAACUGAGAUAAAAUUUGGGCAAGAGAAUAAAACAUACUUCGAAAUUUAGAUCGAAGUGAAAUCACCAAAAACGCUCAAAGAAUACUCUUAUUGAGAUUUGCUGCACUGAAUGUGAGCUCCUGCCUGAUCAAACAUCCUCGCAAACCUUAGGGCAAAACCUGCACUGGGCAAAACCUCAACUUGUGGCUGAGAAGGAUAUCCACCACAGGGCUCCUGGCAAGGGUAUGUUUCCCGGCAAGUGAAGAGAACCAAGGCUUGAUUAAAAAAAAAAAAUCCUGGUGUGUUUACAAAAAGAAAAAUAAGGGAUGAGGGGAAGCAAACCCCACAAACAUCUCAGCAUCGUGAGCAACUCCUUUUGAACAGUGUCUACUGUGAUCUCUUAUAGCAUGAUGUGUACAUACCUACAGAAGAAUAAAUACAUUGCACUCCACCCACUGUGUUUUCAUACACAGAGGUAUACAUUGUGGGAUAGGAGACUCCAAACACAAACAACUCAGUCAUCCAUUGAAUGUGUUAUUGUGACUUUUGGCCCCAGUAACAUUCCAAUUUUUUUUCCCUUAAAGAAAGGUGUAAAAAAAUGGGGGAGAGAAGCUUUGACGAAAAGUAUGUAACACAUUAGGGCAAAACAAUACUUAACAUAAUAAUUUCCUUUUUUACAAAGUUCUAACACCACCACCGUCUACAGCACAGAGUCAAAACCCAACAAGAUAAUCAACAGGAUAUGAAGUUAAAGGUUACUUUUGAUUCUGCUUUCUCAUCUAUUACUGAGUUUGGUGACCCCUGACACAUGAAAGACCACAUUUGUGCUCUGGGAGGCCCCCUCUAUAAAACCCACCUAGAACAAAGGUCUUUUGUCCAUAUAUAUAUAUAUACAUAUAUAUAUAUAUGUAUAUAUAUACACAUAUAACAUUAAGAGGGUAUGAGAGAAGAUCUCAUAAGAUAAAGCUCUCCCAUGAUUUUGUGUCUUUUCUCUUUAUAAUUAAACUCUCUAGUUGAGCUAAUUAAAAAAAAAACUCAGUAUAAAAUAUGUGCCCACCAGUAGUUUAUUGACAGGGAUGCAAAUACUUCUGUAAUUGUCAGAAAGGGGGCGAAGAAGCUGGAAGAACCCAGCCCUCCCCUACCCCCACCCCCACCCCCACCCCCAACUGGGUGACAGAAAUUGUGAUUUUAGGAAAAGAAGAGAACUAAUUGUCCUUGCUGCCUCUCCCCUCUUUUGAUAGGAAUGUUUUCAAUGCUGUACAACAGAACAAAAAUCAAAUGGCCAAAACAACAGCAAGGAACAAACAACCCCCCAAACAAAAACAAAUAAAAAAACCCACCCAGGAGGGUUACAGGAAUGUAUUUAAUUAUUUCAAAGAUUGUUAUCCUUUGGGCUUGUGGGUAACCCAGGGGUUGAAUGCCAUCAACAACAAACGAGCAUCUUUCCAAUAAAUUGCAGUAUUACUGCGGUAGAUUUUGUA